AUUGAACGCUGGCGGCAGGCCUAACACAUGCAAGUCGAACGAGUGGCGGACGGGUGAGUAAUGUCUGGGAAACUGCCUGAUGGUGGGGGAUAACUACUGGAAACGGUAGCUAAUACCGCAUACCCUCAGAUGUACCCAGAUGGGAGUGGCUUGUUGGUGGGGUAACGGCUAACAAAGGCGACGGUCCCUAGCUGGUCUGAGAGGCGGACCAGCAAGACGGGAACUGGUACACGGUCCAGACCAGUACGGGAGGCAGCAGUGGGGAAUAUUGCACAAAGGGCGCAAGCCUAAUGCAGCAAUGCCGCGUGUAUGAAGAAGGCUUUCGGGUUGUAAAGUACUUUCAGCGGGGAGGCGUUACCCGAAGAAGAAGGACCGGCUAACUCCGUGCCAGCCGCCGCGGUAAUUC
rnacentral:rRNA from 1 species